rnacentral:rRNA from 1 species
AUUCCAGCUCCAAUAGUGUAUAUUAAAGUUGUUGCAGUUAAAAAGCUCGUAGUUGGAUUUCUGGCGGGAGCGAUCGGUCCUUCACUCAGUGUUGGAACCUGAUUGUCUCCUGCCAUCCAUGGAGAAAACUUAUCUGGCAUUAAGUUGUCGGGUAGGCAAUCUCCAUCUUUUACUGUGAAAAAAUUAGAGUGUUCAAAGCAGGCUUAUGCCGUUGAAUAUAUUAGCAUGGAAUAAUAAGAUAGGACUAUGGUACUAUUUUGUUGGUUUCGAACACCGGAGUAAUGAUUAACAGGGACAGUCAGGGGCACUCGUAUUCCGCCGAGAGAGGUGAAAUUCUCAGACCAGCGGAAGACGAACCACUGCGAAAGCAUUUGCCAGGGACGUUUUCAUUA